AUUGAACGCUGGCGGCAUGCCUUACACAUGCAAGUCGAACGGCAACACGGGUGCUUGCACCUGGUGGCGAGUGGCGAACGGGUGAGUAAUACAUCGGAACGUACCUUAUCGUGGGGGAUAACGCAGCGAAAGCUGUGCUAAUACUGCAUACGCCCUGAGGGGGAAAGCGGGGGAUCGCAAGACCUCGCGCGAUUAGAGCGGCCGAUGCCUGAUUAGCUUGUUGGUGGGGUAAAAGCCCACCAAGGCGACGAUCAGUAGCUGGUCUGAGAGGACGAUCAGCCACACUGGGACUGAGACACGGCCCAGACUCCUACGGGAGGCAGCAGUGGGGAAUUUUGGACAAUGGGGGCAACCCUGAUCCAGCAAUGCCGCGUGAGUGAAGAAGGCCUUCGGGUUGUAAAGCUCUUUUGUCAGGGAAGAAACACCGGCUCUAACACAGUCCGGGAAUGACGGUACCUGAAGAAUAAGCACCGGCUAACUACGUGCCAGCCGCCGCCGUAA
rnacentral:rRNA from 1 species